AAGGGAGAGUAACGCGUGGAUACUUACCUCGGGGUCUGGGAUAGCUGCGGGAAACUGCAGGUAAUACCGGAUAAUGUUUCCCGAACCCAAAGGUGUGAUUCCGCCCUGGGAUAGGUCCGCGUCCUACUAGCUUGUUGGUGAGGUAAUGGCUCACCAAGGCGAUUAUGGGUAGCGGGUGUGAGAGCAUGGCCCCGUCUCACUGGGACUGAGACACUGCCCCAGACACCUACGGGUGGCUGCAGUCGAGAAUCUUCCGCAAUGGACGAAAGUCUGACGGAGCGACGCCGCGUGCGGGAUGAAGGCCCUCGGGUUGUAAACCGCUGUCAGUUGGGAGGAAAUGCCAUAGGGCACUCUCUAUGGUUUGACCGAUCUUCAGAGGAAGUCCGGGCUAAGUUCGUGCCAGCAGCCGCGGCAAGACGAACCGGACGAACGUUAUUCGGAAUCACUGGGCUUAAAGGGUACGUAGGCGGCUUUGUAGGUUGGGUGUGAAAUCCCACGGCUCAACCGUGGAACUGCGCUCAAAACCACAGGGCUUGAGGGAAGUAGAGGUAAGCGGAACUGAUGGCGGAGCGGUGAAAUGCGUUGAUAUCAUCAGGAACACCAGUGGCGAAGGCGGCUUACUGGGCUUCUUCUGACGCUGAGGUACGAAAGCUAGGGUAGCGAACGGGAUUAGAUACCCCGGUAGUCCUAGCUGUAAACGAUG
rnacentral:rRNA from 1 species